GGGUUAAUGUCCUUGUGCUCCUAACUGUCAAUCACCUAGUGGGGUGAUUGCCAGUGGGCGGGGCAUCACCUCAGAGUGGGUCAUGUGACUACUAGAGAGGGGUGGAGAGGUGCUGUGAGUGUAGCUGGGGGAGAGACUGCAUAUCCCUUGGUGAGAGGACAUAGUUUUUUGCUGCUCCGGCCGUCGCCCGCAUUAGAGCUGAGCGGUAUACAUUGCGGCGGCCGGAGGGGGCUUAGUGUGUGUAGCCAGAACAGGGCUUCCUUACUGUAAAGGUGGUGACAGCAGCAUUGAGACUCAGCACUGUUCAUAGAACCCGGCAUUGGCGCUAGUCAACUCACCCAGCAGUAUUGGAAGGGCGCACCGGUGACAGGGAGACAGAGAGGGUUCCUUCCUACCUAUUACACAGACUCUGACAGCCACAACAAAGAAGCCAGGACCAGCAGCAGAGGCUCCAUUCUGUGUGGCUUAUGUCUCCAUGGUAACCGGAGCGGCGACGGGUAGGAGCGGUCUGAUAGUGGUGAGGACUGAUGACGUCAUCCAUUCCCCGCCGGCGUGACCGAGCCUGGGACGUGCACUCGGGUGUUUGGUGUGGGUAUAAAGGUAACUGAAGAUGGCUUUGACAAAAGAGGAGAAAUUAGGUUUUCUGUAUUUUUGAUGGAUGAGUGUGGUUAUGUGUGGGGCAAUAGUUUUAAUCAUUUGUUAAAUUUGCACAGUCCAAUUCUUGUACCAUCUAUAUUAGUUAGUGCUGAUAAUAGAUAUUAUAUAUUUUUAUAUAGUUACAGUAUGUGUCUUUAUAUAUAUUUAUAUAUAUUUAUAAAUACUUUUUUU